rnacentral:rRNA from 1 species
UACGGAGGAUCCAAGCGUUAUCCGGAUUUAUUGGGUUUAAAGGGUGCGUAGGCGGAAUGAUAAGUCAGUGGUGAAAGCCUGCAGCUUAACUGCAGAACUGCCAUUGAUACUGUCAAUCUUGAGUACAUUUGAUGUGGGCGGAAUGUGUCAUGUAGCGGUGAAAUGCUUAGAUAUGACACAGAACACCGAUUGCGAAGGCAGCUCACAAAACUGUAACUAACGCUGAGGCACGAAAGCGUGGGUAUCAAAACAGG